AUUAAGUUCAUUCCUGAGAGACAACUUUCCUCUAGUUUUUAGUCGCUAGCUAGCUUUAGUCAGACCAAUUAGCAUCCAGUUUGAUUCAUUUCCAAAGUGCUCCUAAAUGAAACAGAAGUCAUGGUUUGACUCACCCUGUGCUUUUAUGCAAGUGAACCAAACUGAAAUGACGGCCUCUUUGUCUUUCUCAUUUCAUGAAACUCAGAGCAGCUUCUCUGGGUAAGCAGGUGAUCAGGUUAAGAGGUGGUUCUCUGCCAUCAAGGAGAAUUCCAAGUAAGUGGGCAUUUUCGUGUAAUCUUAAAAUCCAAAGCCUGUAGAAUGGAGAUGUUACUGCAUUAAAUCAGAAAGUACCGAUAAUUAAUCUCCACAAUGAAAACAAAAUCAGAAUUCUCCAAAAUAUUGCAACAACACUACUUUUGGUACAGCAGUUCUUGCAUAGUAUUUGACCUUUUUAUAGCCAUCAUGACUUCUGUUUUUAUAUUCAGUCACUUAUUUCUUUUUUAUACAGUUAUCAUUUUAAAUUACCAUGUGCAGUAGCCCUAUUGUUCAGACUGCAUGUUAUUAUUAUCGUUGGGGGAUUGCAAGAGUGAAAUAGUUUGUAGAGUUAUAUUAAAAUGUGAGAAGACUAAUGGAAUACUAUGUACAUUUCAUAACUUAGAACUAAAAGCUCUAGUUCUAAGUUAUUUUAGUAUUUAUAAUCAAGUGUGUGUGAGUGGGGGGUGGAGCAAUUUGCCCCUAUAAGUACAACCAACAGAGCAGGGCCAGUGGUGAGAAACUUAAACGUCUGGAUGCUAAUUGCUCUCUCUCAGUGAUGACUCUCCUGCACAGUGUCCUUGCUCUGGUCCUCAGCUGGACAGGUCUCUGUUCAGUCCUGUACAUUUUCAGUACUGGACUGGUUGCUGUGGUUGCACUUUGGACUGCGAGGCUGCUGCUGCGUUACACCUGGUACUCUCACAGGUUGUCCUGUUUCAGCAAACCACAGACACGUUCAUGGCUGUUGGACCAUCUUGGGAAGAUGCAGAGCACAGAAGAAGGCCUCCAGUGGGUGGAUGACCUGGUGCAGACAUACAAACACUCCUGCUGCUGGUUCCUCGGUCCUUUCUACCAUCUGGUCAGACUCUUCCACCCUGACUACGUCAAACCUCUGCUUAUAAAACACCAACAGUCAGUCUGAAGCUAAGCUUUUGGUGUUUGCUUACAUUGUUCAUCAUUUACUUCCUUCAGCCAGCAUCACAGUGAAAGAUGAAUUAAUUUCUCACCGCCUGCGCCCAUGGCUGGGACACAGUGUGUUGAUCAGUAAUGGAGUGGUGUGGUCCCGCGAGAGACGACUGCUCACUCCAGCUUUUCAUUUUGAUAUAUUGAGGAGCUACAUUGCUGUAUUUAAC